GAAAAUAAACAGACUUGUAAGCCGUGUAGUUGUCAUUGGCCAGCACAAAAUUUACUGUCGGGACAAGGCCAGACCAACCAUGAGAACGUCAAGAACCAUAUAUGUGCUUCAUUCAUUGGCUCGAACACUUUCGACCGAUACCACUGUUCCAACAGCUCACACGAUGAGGGUUGAACGAGGGGAUUCGCUCUGUCUGCUGUCUAUAUUUAAUCAGACCAAGGGUGACAUCUGAUUACGAUUGCUGGGUGCGUUUUGUUCUCGUAUAUAAAACACCAUCUUGACGAGGAUAUCAAAUUCCUUGCUGUUGUUCUACAAAGGGAUCUGCUUUUAUCUAAUCCUUUCUUGACGCCCCAUAAUGUGGGUAUCUGUAGCGGCCAUGAUUUGAUCGGUCUAAAGAAGCCAUGGAAUAAUAGCUGUUCAAGUAGAGGUAUCAAAUCAGAUUGUUCUUCCACGUUUCCUUUAUUUUUCAUUUUUUUUAUCCGUGCAUUUA